AAUGAACGCUGGCGGCGUGCCUAAUACAUGCCAGUCGAGCGAACGGACGAGAAGCUUGCUUCUCUGAUGUUAGCGGCGGACGGGUGAGUAACACGUGGAUAACCUACCUAUAGGACUGGGAUAACUUCGGGAAACCGGAGCUAAUACCGGAUAAUAUUUUGAACCGCAUGGUUCAAAAGUGAAAGACGGUCUUGCUGUCACUUAUAGAUGGAUCCGCGCUGCAUUAGCUAGUUGGUAAGGUAACGGCUUACCAAGGCAACGAUGCAUAGCCGACCUGAGAGGGUGAUCGGCCACACUGGAACUGAGACACGGUCCAGACUCCUACGGGAGGCAGCAGUAGGGAAUCUUCCGCAAUGGGCGAAAGCCUGACGGAGCAACGCCGCGUGAGUGAUGAAGGUCUUCGGAUCGUAAAACUCUGUUAUUAGGGAAGAACAUAUGUGUAAGUAACUGUGCACAUCUUGACGGUACCUAAUCAGAAAGCCACGGCUAACUACGUG
rnacentral:rRNA from 1 species